rnacentral:rRNA from 1 species
UACGUAGGGUGCGAGCGUUGUCCGGAAUUAUUGGGCGUAAAGAGCUUGUAGGCGGUCUGUCGCGUCUGCUGUGAAAAUCCGGGGCUCAACCCCGGACUUGCAGUGGGUACGGGCAGACUAGAGUGUGGUAGGGGAGACUGGAAUUCCUGGUGUAGCGGUGAAAUGCGCAGAUAUCAGGAGGAACACCGAUGGCGAAGGCGGCAUCCUGGACCAAUAUUGACGCUGAGGAGCGAAAGCCAGGGGAGCAAACGGG